rnacentral:misc_RNA from 1 species
GAUGAAGAACGUAGCGAAAUGCGAUAAGUAAUGUGAAUUGCAGAAUUCAGUGAAUCAUCGAAUCUUUGAACGCACCUUGCACCCUUUGGCAUUCCGAAGGGUAUGCUCGUUUGAGUGUCAUUGUACUCUCACACUCCCAAUUGCUUUGGAUUGGGAGCGGUGGACUUGGGUGUUGCUGCUUGACUGAGGCUCACCUGAAAUAUGUUAGUGCACCUCUUGAUUGGACAUAGUACGGCGUGAUAAGUGUCUUCGCCGGCUCCUCGCAAAGAGGGUGGCCGAUCGGGAGCUCUGUUGCUUCAAACUGUCUUCGGACAAUCUUCUGGCGACUUGACCUCAAAUCGAGUAGGACUACCCGCUGAACUUAAGCAUAUCAAUAAGCGAGGA